rnacentral:lncRNA from 1 species
CCUAAUGGAAAUAAUAAUUUCACAGGUAACUUCUCAACAGCAACAGUGAAAGGGAGAAGACAGUGGGGACAAUCCCCUCAAAAAACGAAGAGUUUUUACCAUCAAUUGAAAUUUUACAUCCACUGAAACCAUCUUUGAAGAAUGAGGGUGAAAUAAAGAUAUUCUAGGAAAAAAAUACUCAGCUGUACCUCAAAUACUAGAAAAUAUGUGUGUGUGUCUCUGUGUGUGUUUGUGUGUGUGUGUGCGAAAUCAAAGUGGUCCAAAGUCCAUGUAUUUUCUAGUUUAAAGUUGUUUAACUUGAGACUUUGAGUAUGGAUAUUAUCAUUAUAGGUAGCUAUUAAAAG